rnacentral:rRNA from 1 species
CAAUAGCGUAUAUUAAAGUUGUUGCGGUUAAAAAGCUCGUAGUUGGAUUUCUGCUGAGGACGAUCGGUCCGCCCACUGGGUGAGUAUCUGGCUCGGCCUUGGCAUCUUCUUGGAGAACGUUGCUGCACUUGACUGUGUGGUGCGGUAUCCAGGACUUUUACUUUGAGGAGAUUAGAGUGUUUCAAGCAGGCGCACGCCUUGAAUACAUUAGCAUGGAAUAAUAAGAUAGGACCUUGGUUCUAUUUUGUUGGUUUCUAGAGCUGAGGUAAUGAUUAAUAGGGAUAGUUGGGGGCAUUCGUAUUUAACUGUCAGAGGUGAAAUUCUUGGAUUUGUUAAAGACGGACUUCUGCGAAAGCAUUUGCCAAGGAUGUUUUCAUUGA